GACCUGAUAGCUCAGUUGGUAGAGCACCUCCCUUUUAAGGAGGUGGUCCUGGGUUCGAGCCCCAGUCAGGUCAC
rnacentral:tRNA from 1 species